AAAGAUGGCUUCGGCUAUCACUUUUGGAUGGUCCCGCGGCGUAUUAGCUAGAUGGUGGGGUAACGGCUCACCAUGGCAAUGAUACGUAGCCGACCUGAGAGGGUAAUCGGCCACAUUGGGACUGAGACACGGCCCAAACUCCUACGGGAGGCAGCAGUAGGGAAUCUUCCACAAUGGACGAAAGUCUGAUGGAGCAACGCCGCGUGAGUGAAGAAGGGUUUCGGCUCGUAAAACUCUGUUGUUAAAGAAGAACAUAUCUGAGAGUAACUGUUCAGGUAUUGACGGUAUUUAACCAGAAAGCCACGGCUAACUACGUGCCAGCAGCCGCGGUAAUACGUAGGUGGCAAGCGUUGUCCGGAUUUAUUGGGCGUAAAGCGAGCGCAGGCGGUUUUUUAAGUCUGAUGUGAAAGCCUUCGGCUCAACCGAAGAAGUGCAUCGGAAACUGGGAAACUUGAGUGCAGAAGAGGACAGUGGAACUCCAUGUGUAGCGGUGAAAUGCGUAGAUAUAUGGAAGAACACCAGUGGCGAAGGCGGCUGUCUGGUCUGUAACUGACGCUGAGGCUCGAAAGUAUGGGUAGCAAACAGGAUUAGAUACCCUGGUAGUCCAUACCGUAAACGAUGAAUGCUAAGUGUUGGAGGGUUUCCGCCCUUCAGUGCUGCAGCUAACGCAUUAAGCAUUCCGCCUGGGGAGUACGGCCGCAAGGCUGAAACUCAAAGGAAUUGACGGGGGCCCGCACAAGCGGUGGAGCAUGUGGUUUAAUUCGAAGCUACGCGAAGAACCUUACCAGGUCUUGACAUACUAUGCAAAUCUAAGAGAUUAGACGUUCCCUUCGGGGACAUGGAUACAGGUGGUGCAUGGUUGUCGUCAGCUCGUGUCGUGAGAUGUUGGGUUAAGUCCCGCAACGAGCGCAACCCUUAUUAUCAGUUGCCAGCAUUAAGUUGGGCACUCUGGUGAGACUGCCGGUGACAAACCGGAGGAAGGUGGGGAUGACGUCAAAUCAUCAUGCCCCUUAUGACCUGGGCUACACACGUGCUACAAUGGAUGGUACAACGAGUUGCGAACUCGCGAGAGUAAGCUAAUCUCUUAAAGCCAUUCUCAGUUCGGAUUGUAGGCUGCAACUCGCCUACAUGAAGUCGGAAUCGCUAGUAAUCGCGGAUCAGCAUGCCGCGGUGAAUACGUUCCCGGGCCUUGUACACACCGCCCGUCACACCAUGAGAGUUUGUAACACCCAAA
rnacentral:rRNA from 1 species